rnacentral:rRNA from 1 species
UACGUAGGUGGCGAGCGUUAUCUGGAAUUAUUGGGCGUAAAGAGCGCGCAGGUGGUUGAUUAAGUCUGAUGUGAAAGCCCACGGCUUAACCGUGGAGGGUCAUUGGAAACUGGUCAACUUGAGUGCAGAAGAGGGAAGUGGAAUUCCAUGUGUAGCGGUGAAAUGCGUAGAGAUAUGGAGGAACACCAGUGGCGAAGGCGGCUUCCUGGUCUGUAACUGACACUGAGGCGCGAAAGCGUGGGGAGCAAACAGGAUUAGA